GAUUUUCUGGCUUGGGCUGGAUAGAGCACCAGCCUCCUAAGUUGGGGGUCGAGGGUUCAAAUCCCUCCCCGCCCGCCA
rnacentral:tRNA from 1 species